UACGUAGGGUGCAAGCGUUGUCCGGAAUUAUUGGGCGUAAAGAGCUCGUAGGCGGUCUGUCGCGUCUGCUGUGAAAACUCGGGGCUUAACCCCGGGCCUGCAGUGGGUACGGGCAGACUAGAGUGCGGUAGGGGAGACUGGAAUUCCUGGUGUAGCGGUGAAAUGCGUUGAUAUCAUCAGGAACACCGGUGGCGAAGGCGGCUUCUGGGUCGUUACCUGACGCUGAGGAACGAAAGCCAGGGGAGCGAACGGG
rnacentral:rRNA from 1 species